AGUCCCUGUGUGCGGCACAGGGGGCAGAGAACCGUUUCACGGGUAAUAAAACGGGACGAAUGCAAAUAGUUGUGAUAAAUCGAGCAAACGUGGCGCCUUUAUCGCGAAAGGAUCGUUCGCGUUAACGUUUAACCGCGUGUUUUCCCAUCCCAAAACCUUUUUCCCAAUCCUUUUUCCUUCCUUUUUCCCUACUUUCUCUCUCGCUCUCUCUCUCGCCCUCCUCCUUCGCCCUUUCCAAUCCCCCGUUUCGAAACCAUCUCGUUCCAUCGCUCGAGUCCAGGAUUACACCUAUAAAAAUCUAUUGUUCGAAUUUUUAAAUGGCGCAAUCGUAAUUCCGCGUGAUACGGAUGUAAAGUUUGACCAGAGCAAGGAGAACGGGAAACGAGGGGGCCUGGAUUCCAGCUUGGUAUCUACCUUUGGAGAAGAGUGAGGGAAAAGUACUCCCGGCCAGGAUUCUCUUCUCCGUUGCCAAUCGUUAUCCGAGAUUUAUUGUUUCCCGAGGAUCGGCGGGUCACAGAAUCGGGUUCAUUCUCCUGCUCGCCCUCACGAGGGUUCCCCAUUCAAGCGGGGCUGCUUUGCAUAAAUUUCCGUGCAGAUGCGACGCGAUAUCACAUCGGCGUCGUGAUAGAAAUAGAAUAUAUAUAUACAUAUAUAUAUAUAUAAGAUAUAUACGCGAAUACAGGAGCAAGAGCCGAUAUCAGAGGAAUUGAUAUUUCUUUUCGUUCGAAUAGUUUCGUUUUUUUUUGAAAAAUUGUUUUAAAACGAUCUUCUAUGGAAAAAAACAUUUGGAUAAUUUUUGAUCGGAAUAAUUUUCAAUCAUUAUCAAUUUGGAAAUUGAUAAAACUUAGAAAAAAAGAAGGAAUUGGACAAAAGUGGUAAGAUAUUCGACGAAUUUUCAUAUUUUGUUUUCUCGAAAACUGGUAAACGAUAAUAAACUUUAUAUUUUUCGUUUAUUUUCGUGCGUUUAAAAUGACUCGAUAUUUCUAUCAAUAUUUCGCCUAUAUCCAAUCAGAAAUUAGCCAAAUUUUUCACCGGUUUCCAAACUCGAUUCCCUAAAAAAAAAAAAAAAGAAAAAAAAAUAAAAACGAAUCCAUAAACCAAAAAAAAAAAAA